GUCAUAUGCUUUGUUCAAGGGCUAAGCCAUGCACGCGUGAGAGCAAGUUGUGCGCCUCUGCCAAACCUGUCUGCGAAUGGCUCAUUGGACCAGCGAUAAUCUCAGCAGAGAGUGGGUCCUUCUCGUGAGUGGGGAGUUCGUGCUUUGCCAGGGCCUUUUGAUACCGCUGGAGUUCUGUCUCUGCGGGCGGAAGGAAGGAAAGUCUUACUCCAAGGCCGAUUCGGCAUACCCUCUCUUUCUGAAACAGUUGGCUAAUACAUGUGCAAUGGGGCAACCCUGUUCAUUCUCCUUCGGGAAUGUGACAGGAUGCACUGGGCUGACACAAAGAAGGAACUUUGCCGCCCCUGCCGGGCAAUUUUCCCUGGGUGGAACCAAGCCUUCUGUGGAGGAUCGAGGGGGUUGGGGGUUGUUCCUGGGCUUCACGGUCUGGGGGCAGCCUCCACUCACGAGAACGGAUUCUACUGCGUAUGGUGCGCUAGUGGAGGCCCUGCGAAGCCCACUACUCUGCCUGAGUUUCUGCCCUAUCAGCCUGCACGGUGGCUCAGUGGACCACGGCGGCGAUGACGGGUAACGCGGAAUUAGGGUUCGAUUCCGGAGAGGGAGCCUGAAAUACGGCUACUACGACCAAGGUUGGCAGCAGGCGCGCAAAUUGCUCAAUAUCGAUGUGCAUUGGUGAAGCAGCGACGAGAAGUGGUACCUUUUAUCGAUCUUUGGAUCGGUACUGGUGGAAUGAAUGAGAACCCAAGGAAUGCAGUGAGCAUCCACUUGUGGGCCAGUCUGGUGCCAGCAGCCGCGGUAAUUCCAGCACAAGUGGCCUACUUUGACGUUGUUGCCGUUAAAAAGCUCGUAGUUGGUUGGCAUCCGAGAAAACCCCGGAAGCCUCACCCCAGGACCCUUCGGCCUCUGUGGGCGGGGCGGAAACGGGCGAUCUUGCCGUGCCCUGCUCAACUCGGGCUUCCUCUCGCACUCUGCCCCUUCCACCCUGCUGUUCCCUCGGGAGCUGUACCGGUGGAUGAGGCAGACGCAAUGGGGGAGAUCCGGGUCUGAGCUUCUCAGUGGGAACGAUUUUCCGAAGUUGGGAGAGUGCGGGUCUGGUCCUCGUGCCGUAGCUUUUGGGCUGCGAGACGUCUCGGAUCGCCGCCUCUCCCGUAACCGCAACGCGUUAAAUGGCCUACAUCCUGAAGCAAGGCUGUGCAGAAUGGCCGGAUGCAGCCCUCUCCCCUGCGGGUGGGGGCUGCAGAAGGCAAAGGAAACGCCCACUGGUUUUGUACCAUGAGCAAAGCUAAGCGCUCCAAGCAAGUUGUCCUUCCUAUCGAUCGGAUGUUCAAGCGUGGCAUAACAAGGGACCGGUCCGAAUGGACCCGAUGUUCUGGCAUUCUUUACUGGCCCGCUUUGGACGAACUUCGCUUCUCGAGGAUGCUCUCGGAGUGCCCCUUCGGACUUGGGCCGGGUGGGGGGGGUGCCGUGCUGAAGUUCCGGGACCGGGGGGGAAUCUUCCCCCCGUCUGGUCCCUCUUCCACGGCCCCCCCCGACCUACCCCUGUUUGAGGGAAUCAGGCCUCUGACCCGAGCCCGGGAACGGAGGUGUUGACCGAGGUCGUUUCUGUGCUCAGGGGACUGGGCGGCGAGCGGUGAAACGCUUUGACCCGUCUCAGGACCACCAAAGGCGAAAGCACUGAGCAGGAUUCGACUUGCCAAUCAAGAGCGAGUGUGCGGUGAUCGAAGAGGAUCAGAUACCCUCGUAGUCCGCGCUGUAAACCGUGCCUACAGAGGAUGCGGGCUGCGUUCCUUCGGAAUGUCAGCCCGUGUCUUUCCCCCGCAACGAGAAAUCCAAGUGUAUGGGUUCAGGGGGGAGUACGGUUGCAAGACUGAAACUUAAAGGAAUUGACGGAAUGGCACCACCAGGCGUGGAGUUUGCGGCUUAAUUUGACUCAACACGGGGAACGUUACCUGGAUAGCACGUGGAAAGGAUAUGACAGGCUGAAGCCCUCUCUUCGAUAACUCGGAAAGUGGUGCAUGGUCGUUCCUGGUUGGUGAAGUGAUUUGUCUGGUUGAUUCCGAUAACGAGCGAGGUCUUCACCUUCCAGUAGCCGGCGUUCUCGCUCGCGUAGGGCCAUUGUGUGGUCCCCUCGCGCCCCCCGGUUCUGGCCCGCAAGGGACCCAGGGCCGGGGGGAUGCCGAGGUCUCCAUGGCCUGAGAGUGACGCACCGGUUGCUUCUCAGUGGGUUCGAGCACUUCGUCCUUGACUAAGUGUUCACAACCGGAAGCCGACAGCAGGUCUGUGAUGCCCUUAGAUGCCCAGGGCUGCACGCGCACGACAAUGCCCCCGUGAGCGUGCAGUUUAUUCCCCUGUGGCCAUCGUGAUUCUCUGGAAAAGGGGAGCGUUCGCGCCCCCCCUGGACCGGCAGUUUCACGACUCCGCAGAGCUAUCCAGGAUACCAUGGUUCGAUGAUGGACUGGGAAAUCCCCGAAGCUGCACUCUCCGGACGUGACUGGGGAUCGGUGAUUGCCACUGUUCUCCUUCAACGAGGAAUGCCCAGUAAGUGCAGGUCAUCAGCCUGCGCUGACUGCGUCCCUGCCAUUUGUACACACCGCCCGUCGUUGCUACCGAUGGCGUUGGGAUAGAGGCCCGAGGAAACUAGUAGCGGGGGAGUCCUGCCGGACUACUCCGGCACUCCCCCGUGAACGAAGAAUUCGGCCAAUAUCCCAUUGCUGGAGGAAGCAAAAGUCGUAACAAGGUAGCUGUAGGUGA
rnacentral:rRNA from 1 species